rnacentral:rRNA from 1 species
CCUACGGGGGGCAGCAGUGGGGAAUAUUGCACAAUGGGGGAAACCCUGAUGCAGCAACGCCGCGUGAGGGAUGAAGGUCUUCGGAUCGUAAACCUCUGUCAGCAGGGAAGAACGGUCACUGUGCUAAUCAGCAGUGAAUUGACGGUACCUGCACAGGAAGCACCGGCUAACUCCGUGCCAGCAGCCGCGGUAAUACGGAGGGUGCGAGCGUUAAUCGGAAUUACUGGGCGUAAAGCGCUCGUAGGCGGUAUGUCAAGUCAAGGGUGAAAUCCCCGCGCUCAACGUGGGAACUGCCUUUGAAACUGGCAAACUGGAGUGUGUGAGAGGAUAGUGAAAGUCCAGGUGUAGGAGUGAAAUCCGUAGAUAUCUGGAGGAACAUCAGUGGCGAAGGCGACUAUCUGGCACAUAACUGACGCUGAGGAGCGAAAGCGUGGGUAGCAAACAGGAUUAGAUACCCCGGUAGUC